rnacentral:lncRNA from 1 species
AUAAUUCCUUAAUUAACGUGCCUAAAGCAGACUACAAAAGUUCAUUAUUCUACCUGAGUUUUAAGAUUAUUGAAAAGCCAACUUAACGAUUGCAAUGUUGGUACAACAAACCUCUCUUCAUAGAGUAGAAUCCAGAGCUCAUGAACAGUAAGGCAGAGCCGCCCACACCUGCCCUCCAAGAUAAGAUAAGCUACAAUCUAUAUCCAUUCAGAUAUUACCUGCCAUGGGUUUUCAAAUAAAUUGGUAUGGAAUCUAUAUAUUCUGUUACAUUAUCAAUUUGCAUAUUCUGUUUUUACAUAGUACUAGCCAAAAUACAUUUAUGCAGUUGCAAAUAUUAGGUAAAUUUGACGAUCUAAAAAACAACCAGAAGUUAAUAUCUAGUGAAUUCGCAGUCAAAUUCAACACCCUUUGUACCUCAAUAGCAGCAAAAAUCAACAAUUACACAUAUCUUGACUCCAAAAUUGAUCCAAGAUAGCAAUAACAUAUUGGACCCAGAACCGUAAAUAAACCUCGACCAAACUAGAAAUCUUCGACCGGAGGCUGCAAAACUGCUAAUGGAAACCUCAAACGGAGCUCUCGAGCUAAUUAGAACUUCAAUCGAGAAACACAAACUUUGCCGAAAAGGAAAUCGCAGGAAUGACUGAAAGAGGCGCUACUUUGAACUUUGGCCUUGAAAUUGUUUGUUACUUUGUUUACAUAAAAUGGAGACAUAAGGAGGAAGCAGGUCGGUUCUUUACUUAUGCUUCACAGAAUUGAUGGUUUCUUUUUCUUUUCCAGUGACCAAGGAGCAGCCUACUGUUCUUUACAUAGCUAUGGAAGAAAUUGGAGUAUGAAUAAAGAGAGGAAAAGUGUCGAUGUCGUGUGUGUGUAUUGAAGCUUUUUGGUUAUGGAUGUGUGGAUAGGAUCGGCUGAUGCUGUAGAGUGUGUAUUAAUAGGUUAGGUCUAGUUAUUAUUUGGGUUUAAGGAUAUUGGUCUCAAGGAAUGGGCUAAAAACGUGG